CAGCAGCCGCGGUAAUACAGAGGGUGCGAGCGUUAAUCGGAUUUACUGGGCGUAAAGCGUGCGUAGGCGGCUUCUUAAGUCGGAUGUGAAAUCCCUGAGCUUAACUUAGGAAUUGCAUUCGAUACUGGGAAGCUAGAGUAUGGGAGAGGAUGGUAGAAUUCCAGGUGUAGCGGUGAAAUGCGUAGAGAUCUGGAGGAAUACCGAUGGCGAAGGCAGCCAUCUGGCCUAAUACUGACGCUGAGGUACGAAAGCAUGGGGAGCAAACAGGAUUAGAGACCCCCGUAGUCCCUGUCUCUUAUAC
rnacentral:rRNA from 1 species